rnacentral:rRNA from 1 species
CCUGGUUGAUCCUGCCAGUAGUCAUAUGCUUGUCUAAAAGAUUAAGCCAUGCAUGUCUAAGUAUAAGCAAUUAUACUGCAAAACUGCGGAAAGCUCAUUAUAUCAGUUAUAGUUUAUUUGAUGGUACCCUAGUACAUGGAUAUCUGUAGUAAUUCUAGAGCUAAUACAUGUCCUGAAUGUCAGACUCCUUCGGGGGAAUGCAAGGAUUUAUUAGAUACCCUUUUGCCAACCCGCUUCGGCGGUUUUUCUGGUGAAUCAUAAUAACUUCUAGAUCGCACUGCCUUACCGGGCGGCGAUGGGUCAUUCAAGUUUCUGCCCUAUCAGCUAGAUGUUAGUGUAUUGGACUAACAUGGCUCAUACGGGUGACGGAGGAUUAGGGUCCGAUCCCGGAGAGGGAGCCUGAGAAACGGCUACCACUUCCAAGGAAGGCAGCAGGCGCGUAAAUUACCCAAUCCCAAUACGGGGAGGUAGUGACAAGAAAUAACAAUAUCGGGCUCUUAUGGGUCUGGUAAUUGGAAUGAGCAUAAUGUAAAAUCCCUAACGAGGAUCUAUUGGAGGGCAAGUCUGGUGCCAGCAGCCGCGGUAAUACCAGCUCCAAUAGCAUAUGCUAAAGUUGUUGCAGUUAAAAGGCUCGUAGUCGAACUUAUGGCCCCAGUGAACCCUUCCCACCUUCUAGUAAGGUGCGCGUCGGUGUGCACGGGUCAUUGUUCUGGAAAGCAUGUCUGCCCUUGAUUGGGUCUGGCAUGUAAUUCAGGUCAUUUACUGUGAGUAAAUCAGAGUGUUCAAAGCAGGCAGCAAUGCUUGUAUGGUUCAGCAUGGAAUAAUAAGAUAAGACUUUGGUUUUAUUUUGUUGGCUAUAGAACCAAAGUAAUGAUUGAAAAGGAUAGUUGGGGGUGCUAGUAUUCAGUGGUCAGCGGAGAAAUGCGAGGACCCAUUGAAGACUAACUUAUGCGAAAGCAUUCACCAAGGAUAUCUUUAUUGAUCAAGAACGAAAGUUGGGGGAUCGAAGACGAUCAGAUACCGUCGUAGUCCCAACCAUAAACUAUGCCAACUGAGGGUUGGCAGGCAUUAAUACCUGAUUCUGUCAGAACUCUAUGAGAAAUCAAAGUCUCUGGGUUCUGGGGGGAGUAUGGUCGCAAGGCUGAAACUUAAAGGAAUUGACGGAAGGGCACCACCAGGAGUGGAGCCUGCGGCUUAAUUUGACUCAACACGGGGAAACUUACCAGGUCAGGACAUAGUAAGGAUUGACAGAUUGAAGCUCUUUCUUGAUUCUAUGGAUGGUGGUGCAUGGCCGUUCUUAGCUGGUGGAGUGAUUUGUCUGGUUAAUUCCGUUAACGAACGAGACCUCAGCCUACUAAUUAGUUGACCCAAUGUA